CUUGAAGGAGCUGAGUAGUGGAGAUGUAUCUAAGCAACAUGUUAAAUAAGUAUUAUUCACGAAUAAUUCAUCAUUAUCUUAAAAAAUGUGUAAAGCUUGUUGAGAACUGCAUGCCUUCGUCGUGUAACAGUUAGAGCACUAGGAGCGUAUUCGAGAGGCCCAGGUUCGAGUCCCAUUUUCCACACCUUCUGUUUCAAAAUAAACUACUAUCUCUACAAAUGUCGCCCAAACUAGAAGCUGAUGGACCUUCGUCACCUCCACGAUUUGGCUACUGGGUGCCCUAAUCAUCAGUUGUCCUUUAAAAGGAGAAAUAUAUAAGGCAUCCAACGGGCUGUGACAAAGGAGCUCGCAAGCCUCUUAGUUGAAGAUUUCCCUGCUUGAUUCCAAUACCUCCAGAAACGUUGGCAGUUGUUUAUAGAUAGCCAAGGGGACUACUUUGAUAGCAUCUAGGACCAUUAUUUGGUAAAUGUAAUUUUCUACAUUUUUACGACAUUUGUCCUGGAAGUUUUCUGUCAAAGGAUGUAUGUUAGUUAAAAAUAAAAACUUUUAAA